AGCCAAAGCUUUCUUGGGACCAUUUGUACUGCAAUUUGUACAUCAUCUGUGGAAGAAAGAACAGAGAUAUGCACACACAAAGAAAGGUACUUACACACAUACAUUGAUACAUAUGUCAUAUGAUGAAUAUAGAACAAUUAAAACAGAUGGGAAAAUUGAAUAAACACCACAGUUUUAUUACUAAUACUCUCUAUGUGCAAAUCCUACUCAUAUAGUUGUCUUUCUUCCUGUAUACUUUGGAAAAUCCUAGCUGCUGACUCUGUUGCAGACCUUUUAUUGUGCGGGACAACUUUGAUAACUUGAGCUUGUUGCCUAUCACUGUGAUGGGUACUGCUACGAGUAUGUUCAGUGUCCUCCUCCACAGUUGAAGCCAUGGACUUAAAAGAUAGUAAUCCGUUUCCGGACCUUUCUUCUGAUUCGGGUGGUGGUGUCUUUUCACUUGUGCUGCUAGUUGAACUCAAAUUAUGCGCCUCAUUGUUGCUGUUUUUAGAUCGUUUAUUUUUCUUCCCUUUGAUGCUGCUGCAGCUGUUUGAUGUGUUUAUGUUCGACGUCGUUGGUCUGUUGAUAACUUCAUUUGUGUUGUUCAUAAUUGGAACAAGGCCAUAUGGAGUUGUAAAAAAACCAGGAGGACAAACGGCGGUGGGAUUGAUUCUGUAUGCUGGAUUCAUGAAAUCUCCAGCAAUGGGAAGAGGAUGUGGC
rnacentral:lncRNA from 1 species